rnacentral:rRNA from 1 species
CAUGACAUCCCGUGUUUGGAUACACGGACAUCAAAAAAACAAAGUCGCAAGACCUGGCGCUUGGAGAGGGGCCCGCGUCCGAUUAGCUAGUUGGUGAGGUAACGGCUCACCAAGGCUCCGAUCGGUAUCCGGCCUGAGAGGGCGGACGGACACACUGGGACUGAGACACGGCCCAGACUCCUACGGGAGGCAGCAGUGGGGAAUUGUUCGCAAUGGGCGCAAGCCUGACGACGCAACGCCGCGUGGAGGAUGAAGACCUU